CCUCUGCUAGACUCCCCGUUGCUCAGCUGAUCCGUGCAAUGAUGCUUGUGGGCGCCCCCCCGGUCGUCUCCCUCGAACUUCCUCAUCAGAAAGCUGACAUCCGGCUCUAUCACGAUGGCCUUCUUAUGGAGCUAGAUCAGCUUCAGCAGCUGCUUCAUCUUGUCUUCGUCGUACUCGUUCUGGGACAGGCGCAGCCUGUGGGGGGGGGUGAGCGGCGGCAGCGGUUGGGGCUCCGCCGCGGGGGCCUCGGGCUGCGCCUGGGCCCCGUUGAAAUGGGCCGCCCCCUGCUUCUCCGCCGCCGCCCUCUCCUUGGGGGGCCUCUCGGCGCGGUCCGAGCCGCGGUCCGAGCCGCCCCAGUCGGACACGGGGCUGUACUCCACCGGGGGCGGGGCCGAGGGCAGGGCCGGGGGCGGAGCCGGCGCGGGGUUCCGUAUCCUGUCGACGACCUCCUUGGCCUUGCUCAGAGGUAAGACGUAGUUGCCGGGGUUGUGCACGUACGAGCGCAGCGCGGCGUCCAUGUUGCACUUGGGUCGGUGCACCAGGAGCGAGUUGGUCCUGUCGUCCACGUUGUUCUAGUACUCGGGGAGGACGAACGGCCGCACCGUGCCCGCGUCCAUGCGGGUCAGGUAGUCGGCGGCCUGCCGCUCCACCCCCAGGCUCGGGUCCUUGCCCGGGUUGGGCCGCAGCUUGAAGAGCGCGUAGUGCAGCGCCGGGACGAAGGGGUCCCCGGAGGGCAGGGCGGCCGGCUGGGGCUCCGCCUCGAAGACACGGGACACUGGAGAGAGAGGGCGCGGGGGGCGGGGGGGGGGGGACGGACGAACGUUAAUGUCAGCAUUAGAAUAGAUAUCAUUCCACUACUCGGGUAUUAACAAGGAGGCCAAUUAAACUCUGAUGUAGGUGUGAAAGGAACAAAAAACAGGUCAGUAGGUCGAGGUGAGAAACAGUCCCGAGCUUGGCGGGGGGGCUCCUAGGGGCCCGACAAAGAAAUAACACUUACGACACUUGACAACCGUCCUCGCCUCCUGAAAGAUGAACAACGCUUGCAGGUUCUUCUCGACUCGCCCCCGCCGCUCUGCAAAACACA
ensembl:lncRNA